GAAUGCGGCAGCUUACCAUGCAGUCGACGGACAUGUCUUUCGGGAUAUGUUAGUGGCAGACGGGUGCGUAACACGUAGGUGACCUGCCCUGGAGUGGGGAAUAACUAUCCUAACGGAUAGCUAAUACCGCAUAUGCUCGGCGAUUCAUUUUGCCGAGUAAAGUCGAAAGGCGCUUCAGGAUGGGCCUGCGGCGGAUUAGGUAGUUGGUGGGGUAACGGCCUACCAAGCCGAUGAUCCGUAGGGGGCGUGAGAGCGUGGCCCCCCACACUGGCACUGAGAUACGGGCCAGACUCCUACGGGAGGCAGCAGUGAGGAAUAUUGCGCAAUGGGCGAAAGCCUGACGCAGCAACGCCGCGUGAGGGACGAAGGCCUUCGGGUCGUAAACCUCUUUUCUGGGGAAAGAGCAAGGACGGUACCUCAGGAAUAAGUCUCGGCUAACUACGUGCCAGCAGCCGCGGUAAAACGUAGGAGGCGAGCGUUAUCCGGAUUUACUGGGCGUAAAGCGCACGCAGGCGGCUUCGUUAGUCGGGUGUGAAAGCUCCUAGCUUAACUGGGAGAGGCCAUUCGAUACUGCGAGGCUUGAGGUUGGGAGAGGGGUGUGGAAUUCCCGGUGUAGUGGUGGAAUGCGUAGAUAUCGGGAGGAACACCUGUGGCGAAAGCGGCACCCUGGCCCACACCUGACGCUGAGGUGCGAAAGCGUGGGGAGUAAACAGGAUUAGAUACCCUGGUAAUCCACGCUGUAAACGAUGUCAACUAGGUGUCGGUAGCUUUACGCUAUCGGUGCCGAAGCAAACGCGUUAAGUUGACCGCCUGGGGACUACGGCCGCAAGGCUAAAACUCAAAGGAAUUGACG
rnacentral:rRNA from 1 species